rnacentral:misc_RNA from 1 species
CUGCCCUCGAGCGCUGCUGGCUUGCCAGCGGCUGCCCGGUGUUGGGGCGCUACGGUUCAGGGCCUCGUGCCCUGUCCGUAGGCCCCGAAAUGAAGUGGCGGUCCCGCCGCGGCGCCCCCUGCGUAGUAGUCUUACAACUCGCAUCGGGACCCGGUGGUGACCAGCCGUCAAACCCAACUUUCUAAUA